CCUACGGGUGACAGCAGUGAGGAAUAUUGGUCAAUGGACGCGAGUCUGAACCAGCCAAGUAGCGUGAAGGAUGACUGCCCUAUGGGUUGUAAACUUCUUUUAUAUGGGAAUAAAAUGUUCCACGUGUGGGACUUUGUAUGUAUCAUAUGAAUAAGGAUCGGCUAACUCCGUGCGAGCAGCCGCGGUAAUACGGAGGAUCCGAGCGUUAUCCGGAUUUAUUGGGUUUAAAGGGAGCGUAGGUGGAUUGUUAAGUCAGUUGUGAAAGUUUGCGGCUCAACCGUAAAAUUGCAGUUGAAACUGGCAGUCUUGAGUACAGUAGGGGUGGGCGGAAUUCGUGGUGUAGCGGUGAAAUGCUUAGAUAUCACGAAGAACUCCGAUUGCGAAGGCAACUCACUGGACUGCAACUGACACUGAGGCUCGAAAGUGUGGGUAUCAAACAGGAUUAGAUACCCUGGUAGUC
rnacentral:rRNA from 1 species